UGUAGGAGCGGGCUUGCUCGCGAACGCGUCGUGUCAGUUGAUACAGGUGUGACUGACACACCGCUUUCGCGAGCAAGCCCGCUCCCACA
rnacentral:misc_RNA from 1 species